ensembl:lncRNA
UGCCAUGUGCCGAUGAACGGAGACAUAGGUGGCAGAAGCUACAUCUUGUUUGUCUCCUUUAUUUCAUAAAAGCACAACAUUUUCUUGAUAUUGUGGGUGUACACAAAUUAAUGUAGACCCUUUACAGUUUAAAAUGAUGUUACUUUUACCUGUAUGAGCAAAAAUGACAGCAUAUUUUAAGUUGUUUCCGCUGUUCUCAGAAAAAAUGCCAGUGAUUGCGCAGGUGCCUCCAUGUCAUGCAGUAAACGUCUCAGGUUACUCACAUAACCCAUGUUCUCUGAACACCCCUUGGGUUUGCCGAUUGUCUGAAGCCUGUAAGGAAUCAUGCCAAUUCAUUGGCUGAUGGCACGGGGCGUCACCCCAAUGUCACUACUAGGUCAUCAUAAUACUGGUGAAUGUGCCAUCCGCUCCUAAGAUUUUCUGCCAAAGAAGUCCUGUCAGCAGUGCAAGGAGCUGGGCAGUGAAUGCAGUGUCUCGUUCCCUUUUUAGAGAACAUGGGAACUUCGAGUAACCCAAGAUGUUCUCUUUCAUAGGUUCACUCAUUGCUGUGUGGCUAUGACGCAGUGGGAACAAUAUACCACUCCCGCCAAGCUAAGCACUGCCAUAUCUGGCCUGAUGCAAAAUAGACUAGGCUAACCUCAAAUGGCUUUGGAGAGGAGAGGAGAGGAGAGGAGAGGAGAGGACCAUCUUGACGCCACACAGAUAUCUUCCAACUUCUCUGAAAAGAGCUUGAGAGGAAGCAACACUCCUGGUAGAAUGAGCCUCAUAUGCUAGUGAGACAGCAUCCCUUACCCAAUGAGAAUUGCAUGGAAAAACAGUAUGUCCAACUACAGACAGGCUCUAAAAGCUGCCAUGGGCCGAGCAUAUCCACAAACUCAUAGAAAAUAACCAAAACAAUCCAAGGUUUUUGUUUAGCACAGUGGCUAGAUUAACGAAUAACCAGACGCUACCCGAUCUGAAGAAUCAGAAGAACCGCUUCUCACUAUUAUUAACUUGUUAUCUCUAGGUCACAACCCAAAACAAUUCAAGCUGGCGGUUAUUAAGCCUCUUAUUAAGAAACCACAACUAGAUCCUAGUAAUCUGGCAAAUUACAG